rnacentral:rRNA from 1 species
AACGAACGCUGGCGGCAGGCCUAACACAUGCAAGUCGAACGCCCUAGCAAUAGGGAGUGGCAGACGGGUGAGUAACGCGUGGGAACCUUCCCUAUAGUACGGAAUAGCCCAGGGAAACUUGGAGUAAUACCGUAUACGCCCGAAAGGGGAAAGAUUUAUCGCUAUAGGAUGGGCCCGCGUAGGAUUAGCUAGUUGGUGAGGUAAUGGCUCACCAAGGCGACGAUCCUUAGCUGGUCUGAGAGGAUGAUCAGCCACACUGGGACUGAGACACGGCCCAGACUCCUACGGGAGGCAGCAGUGGGGAAUAUUGGACAAUGGGCGCAAGCCUGAUCCAGCCAUGCCGCGUGAGUGACGAAGGCCUUAGGGUUGUAAAGCUCUUUUGGCGGGGAGGAAGGCAUUCAUGCUAAUACCAUGGAUGAUUGACGUUACCCACAGAAUAAGCACCGGCUAACUCCGUGCCAGCAGCCGCGG